rnacentral:rRNA from 1 species
UACAGAGGGGGCAAGCGUUGUUCGGAAUUACUGGGCGUAAAGGGCGCGUAGGCGGCCUGCUAAGUCGAACGUGAAAUCCCCGAGCUCAACUCGGGAACUGCGUCCGAUACUGGCAGGCUUGAAUCCGGGAGAGGGAUGCGGAAUUCCAGGUGUAGCGGUGAAAUGCGCAGAUAUCAGGAAGAACACCCGUGGCGAAGGCGGCUCUCUGGGACGGUACUGACGCUGAGACGCGAAAGCGUGGGGAGCGAACGGG